CAACUUAAAACAAAAACAUUAACAUCAUGAACUUCAUUUCACUGUUAUAAAUACCUCACCAUCUUGAUCAUCAAUUAGCUCUAAUAAGUCCUGUACAUCCUGAGAUUCCUCUCUCCAUCCUAAACGAAUAGACCAUUGUAAUCGAUGCAAAUUGGGAAGCUUCCCAUCGACCAAAGCGCCCACCAGAUCAUCAGCUUUGAUCAGGCUGAUGUUGGUCAAUAAGCUCCCUGAAUAAGUAAUUUCUAAGCUUCGAACAUUAUGCCCUGACUCAGGAAUGCUCUCAAAGGCGGUAGAGGUAAUGUAAUUAGCAGGAAUGCUAAUAGUUGUAGCGUUGGGACAUAACUGAAAAAUGCAAUCUAAGCCGCUCCGAGACAAUUCGGGCAUUGGGUAUUGCACACAGACUGAAGACAAAUUAGGUCCUAUUUUUGAAAGCAAAGAGAAAAUGCCUGCAUCGGUCAAUAGCGGACAUUGUGUGAUGUUUAUACUUUUUAAAGAUGGGGGAAAAACAGACUCAGCCAAAAAGUCAUCAGUAAGGCCACCAGAAAAGCCCACAAAGGUAAGAGAGCUUGGCCAGCAUUCAGUACACAUAGGAGCAGGAAUUGAAAGAUAGGGUAAUAUGAUAUACUCAAGAUGCUUGAGAUG